AGAUUGAACGCUAGCGGGAUGCUUUACACAUGCAAGUCGAACGGCAGCGCGGACUUCGGUCUGGCGGCGAGUGGCGAACGGGUGAGUAAUGUAUCGGAACGUGCCUAGUAGCGGGGGAUAACUACGCGAAAGCGUGGCUAAUACCGCAUACGCCCUACGGGGGAAAGGGGGGGAUCGCAAGACCUCUCACUAUUAGAGCGGCCGAUAUCAGAUUAGCUAGUUGGUGAGGUAAAGGCUCGACCAAGGCCGCGAUCUGUAGCUGGUUUGAGAGGACGACCAGCCACACGUGGGACUGAGACACGGCCCAGACUCCGUAGGGAGCAGCAGUGGGGAAUUUGGACAAGUGGGGGAAACCCUGAACUCCAGCCAUCCCGCGUGUGCGAUGGAAGGUCCGUUACGGGUUAGGUAAACGUCGUACGUUUUGGCCGUAAGGGAACGAAACGGUACUAACGUUCCGUAACGUAA
rnacentral:rRNA from 1 species